UUAAGAGGAGAAUAAUAGCAAUUGAAAGAGGAUUAGGUUUAGAAGUGGGACCAUUGGGAUGAUUCACAUGUCUUUUGAAGGCUUCUCCACUCUCUUUUUCAAUUGUGAACGGCGGCCCUCUCUCCAAGGUUCUUCUCCUAUCAAACUCGUUAACGCCGCCGCGAGAGAUUUCUCCUCCGCCUCACAUCUCAUCUUAAUCUCUCAUUCUCUCCGACUUCGCUUCAAACAAUAGGAUCCAAGAAAACAGCGGCAAUUUUGCAAUCGUGAACACGUUGUAGUGUUGUUGCUCCACGGCUUCGAAGUAAUCUGAGAAAAUUAGGAACAAAUACGACUCCGCUGCAAUGUUUUAAGUGUUGUUGAAAUUGUUGAUGGAGAAUCGAUGCUGAAGUUGUUGAAGCUUGCGGUGACGCGAUUAUGGUGCGAUGGUGAAUUGAAGAUCCGGUGAAGAUUGGAGAUGAUAUUGAUUUCUGCAGAGUUUGUGAAUUGAAGUUUGACGAUUGACGAAGAUAACGAGUGGUGCAAAGAUGAUUCGGAGAUGAUGAUGAACGUAGUGCUGUUGCAAAGUUCUCUAAGACGCAGAAUCGCAAAAUCAUGUGAUGUCGGAGUGAUGAAUAAAAACGAUGAAGGCGAAGGUGAUGUUUAUCUUGAAUAAAUGAAGAAACAAAUGAAGGAUUCUGAGUUUGCUUCUUGUGAUUUUCUUGCAGAAUCGGGAAGUUGUUUGUGAAGAUUGUAAAGAGUUAGCCGAAGAACUUUUUCUGUGUGAGUUUCUUGGAGAAUGAAGGUGAAGAUUGGAAGAGCGAUUCUGUUAUCAUUGAAGAAUUGGAGAUUGAAUCGAGAGAAUCCUCUUAGCAAUCCUGUUACAGGUUUUUGAGAGAUUGAAGAGGAAUUUUCGGUUGAAUGAAUCGAGAGAAUCCAGAAGUUUGUUACAGGUAAUCUUGAAGAGGAAGAUGAACAAAGAUUGAAGAGUUUUUGGUUUUGUCCAGAGGAGAAUUGAAGAAAACUGAAGAGAUUUUCGGAGGUUGAAGAAGACGGAUCGAGAAAGAGAGAGCCUCUUCCAAGUUUGUUACGAUUCAGUUAUCAGUUUGUUACUUGUUUUUGCCUUUUGCUUUUCAGUUUCUUUUUCUUUUUUCCGAUUCCGUUCUCUCCCUCCCCUGAAUUCUGUUAUGUCCAUUUCUAUUCUUGCCCUCUGCUGAGCUUUGUAUCGGUUUGUUAUGCAGGAUGGUUCGAUUUAUUCUUGGCUUUUCUUUGCAGGCAGCACAAGGACCGAUUUAUGAGGCUGGUGCGGUUAGACAUAUUGCACCGCUUUAGAGUGCUUGAAACCACUUGGUCCUCUCUGUGCAUCUAAAUUCCCAUUCAACCCUGUAAUUGUGCUUUUGUAAUAUAAUAGGAACUUAAAUGAAAUUAUGGAUAUUGGGAUUUGUAAUGAAUGAUGAACAUGAAUUUUGUAAUGAAA